rnacentral:rRNA from 1 species
UACGUAGGGGGCAAGCGUUGCUCGGAAUCACUGGGCGUAAAGGGCGCGUAGGCGGACAAGUAAGUCGGGCGUGAAAUCCCUAGGCUCAACCUAGGAACUGCACUCGAAACUGCAUGUCUUGAGUACCGGAGAGGAAAGCGGAAUACCUGGUGUAGAGGUGAAAUUCGUAGAUAUCAGGUGGAACACCAGUGGCGAAGGCGGCUUUCUGGACGGUAACUGACGCUGAGGCGCGAAAGCGUGGGGAGCAAACAGG